UACGUAGGGGGCGAGCGUUGUCCGGAGUUACUGGGCGUAAAGGGCGUGCAGGCGGUGCGGUAAGUUUAGAGUGACAGUCUUCGGCUUAACUGGAGAAGGCCUCUGAAAACUGCCGGACUUGAGGGCCAGAGAGGGACAUAGAAUUCCGGGUGGAGUGGUGAAAUGCGUAGAUAUCCGGAGGAAUACCAAAGGCGAAGGCAGUGUCCUGGCUGGCAAUCUGACGCUGGAGGCGC
rnacentral:rRNA from 1 species